UGGCUCAGUAGGCUGUGACCCUUGCCUCUAGAGAGAGAAUGUCUACAUGGAGGGUCACAGUGAGCCUCUGAGGCUAGCAAAAUCCACCAGGAAACACGGGACUCACGGAGACAAGGGCAGAGAUUUGUCACAACUGGUGUCAGGGUGGGAUCAUCGUUCACAGCAUGGCGGAAGAAGGAGGUUUAAAAAAAACAAAAGUGCACUGGGUUUUGGAUUUUGUUUUGUUUGUUUGCUUUGUACCACAAUGGAGGAGGUGGUAAGAGCUCUGGUACAAGCCACGGCAGCCCAGCAGGAGGCCACCCGGGUUCAGGCAAUGGCGCAACAGGAGUCUAUGUGGCUACAGCAGGAAACUAAUCAAUUAUUGAUGAGCCAGGUGACUCAAGAUCAUGCCCUCUUGUGAGAGUUUGUGGACCAGCUGAAGAUCCUCACCACCCAGGCCCAGGGGUCCGACAGGACACGAACCCUGAAGGCCACUGGUUGUUUGCCAAAGAUAACAUCAGAAGAUGACGUAGAGGCAUAUCUCCUCUCAUUCAAGAGGACUGCUCAGCAUGAGGCGUGGCCCCAGGAGCAGUGGGCCAGCAUUCUCGCCUCUUUUUUGUGCGGAGAGGCCCAGAAGGCCUACUUUGACUUGCCUGCCAUGGAUGCCACUGACUAUACCUGGCUGAAGGCAGAGAUCCUAGCACGAUCAGGGGUGAUGGCAGCAGUAUGGGCCCAGAGGUUCAAUGAAUGGAAAUACCAGGGGAACAAACCUCUGAGGUCCCAGCUAUUCGAUCUCCUACACCUCACACGGAAGUGGUUACAGCCUGAGGUGUGCAGCCCAGAGGAGAUUUUGGAGACCCUGGUCAUGGACCAUUACAUGCGAGGACUGCCACCAGAUCUUCGCAAAUGGAUAGGCCAGAAUGAUCCGUUCACCUAUGACGAGAUGAUCAUGCUGGUAGAAAGAUGCAUAACAGCCAGGGAAUUGACCUAACUACCCAAGGAAGGCCCCUUUUGAAGCAAGCACUCGACCCCAACCCUGAAAGGUUGGGCAGCCAAAUACCUGGGAAGUCCUAAGUGGAAGAAAGGGGGGCUGAAAACCAGCGGGGACCCUUGAAGGAAGGGAUUGGCCUGAGUGGGGGGCAACCCUGGGACUAUACCCCCUAACCUCUGUGAUAGGGGAAUGAUUAGAAGCAAUUAUAGAUGUUAUGCGUGUGGGGAGUGGGGACACAUAGCAGCACAGUGACCUAGCACCGAGGAGCCUAGGCAUUGUAACUUGGGGGAUUGGGAGGUCCCGUGCUCCCUUAUCCAACUGGCGGGCGUCCCAUCAGUCCUGCAUAACUACACCAGGCCAGUGAAGAUAAAUGGAGCAGAGACACAGUGCUUGUAGACUCUGGGAGUGCUCUCACCCUUAUAUUGGGUAAGCUGGUAAAAAGUAGCCAGCUGCUAUAAGCCAAACACAUAGCAGUGAUGUGCGUGCAUGGGGCCAUGAGCCAUUACUCCACCAUUCCGGUGGAGAUAGAGGUUCAGGGAAACCCCAUUGAGGUGACAGUGGGCGUAAUUCUUAAACUCCCAUAUCCUGUAGUCAUUGGGAGGGACUAUCCAGGGUUGAUCAUUUACUCCCCCCGGAGAGGCUGGAGGAGGAGGGGACCCUGAGGGCAGCGACUCGUCGCCGGGGGAAUGUCAACCCCUGAUGUUCCCUGAGAUUUCUCAGGAUCUGUUCUCAGCCCCCCUAAAAGACCCGGAAGACAAAAAAAAGAGAGGAAGGCUGCAAAAGCUUUGGGAACCCGGAUCCUGACCCAGGGUCAGAAGACUGCCCUAGUAGGCAGAGGCAGAUGGACACAAGCAGCCAUUAAAGAAACUACCACCACGGAAGGUGAGCCGGAGGCUGGUCCCAGCCGUGAUGGCGGCGAGCCGUUGGAAGAAGCAGAAGCUGGCCCCUGGGAGCUUGGGCAGGUUAGUCCCAGGAGAGAGACUUUCGGGCGGGACCAGGCAGAGGACCCUAGAUAUGAUAAUGCCAGGAAAGAGGUGGCCAAGAUAGAUGGGAUACCUAUAGAUGGGAAGGUCCAGGACCUUACUAUAUAGUGAAGAAAGAUCUCCUGUACCGUGUGGUGCAAAUGCAGGGGCAAGAGUUGCAACAACUUCUGGUGCCAUGAAAACAUCAAAAAGCCAUAUUUAGCCUAUGCAACCCGAUACCCAGAAGCCGUCCCCCUACGCAACCUGGCUUCCAAGACAAUAGCUAAGGAGCUAGUACAGAUCUUUGCCCGGGUUGGACUACCCAAGGAGAUAUUGACUGAUCAAGGGACGUCUUUUGUGUCCAAGUUGAUGAAAGAUCUCUGUUUGUUGCUCCACGUACAAGCCCUACGGACCUCUGUAUACCACCCGCAAACAGAUGGCCUAGUGGAAAGGUUCAAUAGGACCCUCAAGGCCAUGAUCAGGAAAGUGGUGAGCCAGGAUGGGAAAGAUUGGGAUACCCUAUUGCCUUACCUCAUGUUCGCCAUCUGGGAGGUUCCUCAAGCCUCCACAGGUUACUUCCGUUGGAACUACUAUACAGGUCCCACCCCUGGGGCAUAUUGGAUAUAGCCAGAGAAGCCUGGGAAGAGGAGCCAAAUCCCGGAAGGAACAUAGUCAAGCAUGUACUGCAGAUGAGGUAUUGGAUAGCCCGAGUUACGCCCAUUGUACGGGAACACUUGGAGAAAGCACAGGAGACCCAAUGAACCCAUUAUAACCACCAAGCAAAGCUUCAACGGUUCGAACCAGGGGAUCGAGUGAUGGUCCUGGUGUCCACGGCAGAAAGUAAACUGUUGGCUUAGUGGCAGGGACUCUACGAAGUGAUCAAAGCCAUGGGAGAGGUGAACUAUAAGGUGCGGCAGCCAGGCCGCAGGAAACUGGAGCAAAUUUACCACAUCAAUCUUCUAAAACCUUGGCACGAUCGAGAGGCAUGCUUAGUCACCCAGGAGACCUUUCCCCAGGAGGAUAAUUUACACGAGCAAGUGAGGAUAUCACCCGACUUGACGCCAAUCCAAAAGAUCGAGGCAGCUGACCUGAUUAAUCGCAACUGAGAUGAGCGGAGGGUCACAGUGAGCCUCUGAGGCUAGUGAAAUCCGCCAGGAAAUGCGGGACCCACAGAGACAAGGACAGAGAUUUGUCACAACUUAUAGUGAAUGGAACAUAGACAAUAAGGGGUGAUUUCCCUAUUGGCAAUCCUGUGACGCUGGAUUCUUAGUGGUACUUUGCCAUCAUCUAAGUAUCUUCUCCACUGUGACCUAGGAUACCUUGCAUAUUCCCUCUGUAAAACCUGCUCUCUGUAUUACUAAUUUUCCCCAUGAUUCCUCUGGGACAGAAGAGAAGUUGUUUCACUGAUUUCUGUCAGCUAACAUGAAGAACAUCUUGUGGUUUCUGAUUAUUUGGCUGAUAAGCUGAUGAAACCAGAGAAUCAUCACUGUUAGUUUACACACACACAGCUCUUGCUCCAAUUGUUGCUGUACCUGGGCAUUGUGGCAUCAGUUCUUGGUACCGCUCCCAAAAGCAGCCUUUACUACUCCUGAAGUCAGAUAUCUCCCCGGAAUGCAGCUUCUGGCUUCAGGGACCAUGCAACGUUGAGCUCAGCAAUCUCUGACCUGUCAAUUUGUCUUGAGUGCUGGGUCCUUUGACUUCUGCUAAAUGUCCACUGAUCCUGAGCUAUUCACUGUGUACAGUUUCUAAGAAUUGAUACUGCUUUGGGUACAGCGUGUCUGCCCAUAAUUCUGGCAUAAAAUCACCACCUCCUCAACUGGCUUCCUUCUUGAGACCCCUCCACCCCCCUGCACUGGGAGGAAGGACCGGAAGAGGAGCUCUCAGUGGCAGGACCAGUUGGAGGGUCAAAGAAAAGUCUACUAUGGGCUAUGCUUCCGAGGAGGUGCCCACAUAGGCUGCCCGGGACUGUGGCAGCAGUCAGAGCACCUGCCUCUCUAGCUGCAUAACUGCACAAUAAGAAGACUGCAUGGACUGGAGUCUCCAACUGAACAGCCACAGCUUACAGUUCCUCCAGGAUUCAUUCACAGUUCACUGGUGCCCAGUGAUGCAGAGUGAGAGCAGCUACUGUAGUUUGGUCACUUCAUGUUCCUAGUCAAUAAAAAGAGCUGGCUUCUGCUACCUGUCAGCCUCUUGCAUCUGCUGAUGUUUUGGUGUCUUAGCUCAGCUUUCCAUGCUAACUAGAACAUGGGGUGAAGGACAUGCAAGAGGUUUUCAUGCUGCUCCUGGAGGCAGACCCAGCAUGCAUAAGCUCCUGGCUGGUUCUGUCCUCACUUGGCCUGUGUGUAAUGAGUGAGAAUAUACAGUGGACACUUACCAUCUCCAUAAACUCAUAGACUUUAAGGUCAGAAGGGACCAUUAUGAUCUUCUAGUCUGACCUCCUGCACAAUGCAGGCCACAGAAUCUCACCCACCCACUCCUGUAACAAACCCCUGACCUAUG